UCUCUCCAACCCAAGGAUCAAACCCAGGACUCCCACAUUACAGGCAGAUUCUUUACCAUCUGAGUCAUCACACUAUUAAUAGUAAACAAAUGAUUCCUGCAUUAAAAGUGUUUUUCAUAUCUCUGUGUGAGAAAGUUAUCCAUCUUGUAGAAGAUUUGUGCCUAUGCAGAGACAAGAAGGAAACCCCUGCUGUCAGAGGUUGAAUCAACCCAGUGACCAAAGGAUAAUAAAACCCCUUGUAUCCGUUCCCCUGGGCUAUCCUGAUAGCUCAGUUGGUAAGAAAUCCAAUCCCCCAAGCAGAUUUUAAACCACUCAAGUACAGGAAUCUUGCCUUAUGCCAACCUGACCUUUACAAAGUAUGUUGUAAGAAGCAGGUUAGGGCAAAUCAAUAUUUGCUAACUGAUUGUUUUAAGUUAGCAAACUGAAAUAAGAAAUUUGAGACUCUGAAGAUUUAAAACAACCAAAACAAUGCAACAACAGAAACUAAAAACAGAUACUUUUCCUAGCCUGCUGUCAGGAAAACUCAGAAACUGAAGAUUCUUGUGAUCUACUGAAGGAGUCCAAUGAACUCACUGUCAAACAUUCAGGGCUUUACUGGUCUCAUAAUAUAGAAACAUUUGUUUCUAUAUUGGUGAAGCUCCCAGGCACAGAGGCCCUUUUUUCCCUAGUUUCCUGUAGGUAAGCCUCCAGGACCUUCCCAGAGUUCCAAUGGGCUAAUCAAAGGAGGAGCAGCCAAGAAAGCACCUGAGGCAGGAUUACAGGGAGCAGAUAAGCUCAUCGUGGUUAGGAGACAGACCACCUGGACACACCCUAACCUUAUCAGCAAACCCAACCUUGGGAAAGUAUUGUUAGAAAACUCUUUACCAAGUCCUCCCAGGUGGGGACACACAGCUUUUCCAAGCAGGAGCCCACUGUGUCCUCUUUUGCCUGGCAAAAUAAUAAAACUAUCCUUUUCUACUUCAUCUAGAGCUCUGACUCUGAGAUUCAACUCAGCACCAGUGCACAGAGGCCAAGCUCUCAGCGUCACAGCUAUACAAUAAACAUCACUUAUGCUUCUGGGCUUCCCUGGUGGCUCAAUGUCCCAGGAAGCUACUGUUAACUUGAAAGAUUAACGGAUAGAAGAGAGUGGAAGCUGCCAAGCACUCACUUAAAUAAAGCUAAUAAAGAGACCUUAAAAAAUGGAAUUCUUCCCAGGAGCUGACUUUUGGGGUUGGAAAGGCAUGUCCUCCAUAGAGAUAAGUUGGUCCAGGGUGAGUGAGGAGACUGGUCCCUGAUCACGGAUCUCCCAUCUCCAGAAGCUGCUUCUCUGGGAGAUCAGUGUAAGACAUGCUUAGAUAAUGAAUUCAGAAAGUUACACCUAGCUGUGAACCCACACAGGGGCCCGAGGACUGCUCAGACACAGGGCCGAUGUCUCCCUGCCAGGCUGUGCUCUUCUCGCUGUAGCCUUCCUUCUUCUGCUUCAUGUGCUAUCAUCUUCCAUGUUUCUGUCAAGCUGUAAAGACAAACCUACCCUGGUGAUUUGCCUCUUUGGGAGUUUUGUUGUUAAUCACUACCAGGAACUAAACCUGAAAAACCGUGACAGAAAAAAAGGAAGCUACAGUGUUAUUAUAGUAGCCUAGUUUCUAACUUAGUAAAUGACAAGUGGAAACCAAUUUUAGGACUUCUGUUUUCCCCUCUACUUUUAUUUCUCCAGUGAGGGGAAGAGUGGAGCUUUCCUCUAGUCCCACCCUCAUAUUCCACAUUAAGAUACAAAGGAGACAUGAAGAUAAAAUCAUGGUACUAGAUUAGAUAUCUCUUUGAUACAAAUGACAAUUUACAUAUUUAAAACCCCUAGAGCUUUUCCUGCCCAGGUAGAAUCCUUUUGCAAAACGAAGACCAAAGUGAGUUAGUUACCUACUUUCGGAAAGACGAAGAAAAAAAAUCUCAGUCGCAGUAGAAAUUUGGAGCAACAAAACUUGAAAGAAUAAACAAAAAGUUAAGAUUAAGAGAUGCUAAAGAAUGCUAAUUUUGGAAGAGUUUGCCUAGUAAUAUGAGAAUUUCGAUUAAGUUAUAUGAGAAAUUCCUUACAAACUGAGGUGAAAUUGGGCUCUGAGUAUAUAAUUAGGAGAGAGGUUUCCUUUGGGACAAAGGGGACUCAAUUUGUAGUCCAGAAAAGACUUUAUUUUUUGUGACUAAAGAAAUUACACUGGUACUGCCUGAUACUUGAGUAACAGGAAAACAAUGUUUUGUGUGAUUCUUCAGAGAAGUAAAACCUAGUAAUUCAAGAUUGUAGCUUAACUACCAGGAAAGCUGUGGAUUGGGUCAGGAGAUGGGUGAAGCUUAUGUCUGACACCUUUCCCUUUCUAACAUGUUCAUCACUUUCAAGCUUCUUUACUAUUCAACAUCUUGUACUUUCCAUGUCCUCCUUAGUGAGCUAAUUUCUAGUAAUGUUAUUCCUUGCAGUAAUUUGAAAGUGGAUUUUUUUUCACUUUAGUGUUUUAUUUAAUUGAUUACAUCCAAAAUACUAUUUCUUUCAGUAAAUAUUUUUCACAAUAAGAUAUUUUACUUUUUUUUGGGGGGGGGGGUGUUGUCUUCAAAACCUAGUUAUUACAGCUUCAAUUUGAACCUUAACCUUUCCUGAGAGAGACUUUAUCUGUAUUUAGAUUUCAUAAAAUUUAUUGUUGAAAAAAUAGAUUCACAUACUCAAGUUCCUAACAUACCUAAAAUUGUUUUUUAAUAACUGGAUCAAGUUAAUAGUUCUGCAAUGGUGGGCUAGGAAUUUAGAGAGGUGAAGGAAAGACUACAGAUGGAAUUCAGGCAACAUGGCAGCCUGCAGGAGAGAUAACUGUAUCUGAAUACCUCAUAUGCUAAUUCAAGAGUGAUAUUCCUAUGCACUCAUUGUUUCUAUGGAGGAGGUCAGCUUACUUACUACCACACAUCAACAAUUGCUAAAGUACUGAAAUUUUGUUGUGUUUUGAUUUUCCUUUCUUCUCUUUGAAACAAAAUAUGUCAGGAUCUAUUAUUAGUUACUUGUACCUUAACGGAAGCUUAUUUACAUUGUUCCACCAUUCCCAGAUUUAAUUGCAUUUAUCUUUUAUUUUGAUAAACCUUCAUCUAAGAGACAUGGACACCUAGUCUGUGACCCUGAUACAUGCUUGACUGAGUGAAAUAAUCCUGAUUCAUGCCAAGAGAAAGGUACAUACUCUAAUUCCAAAGCAGGGCUCCAGAUACUCAGCAGAGGCAGUUACAAGCCAUAAUCUUGAGAUGGGUACCAAAGACACAGUGGAUAGCUUCCAACCAACUCAGUGCUUACCCAGAUGGUAGCACAAGGCAUCAGUAGCCAAUAAUCUCAGUGUAUUUGCUUUCCUCAUGUGGGCAGAUAGGGUUUAUGAUCUUUUGACUUCAAAGACUCUCCCAUUCAGUAACACUUUUUCAUUGUGCUCUCAACCUUUAGUCUGUAAUAAUAUUUAUUUUUUCUUUUAGCUCUUUACAAAAGAAUUUCGGGUAUCGAGAGAGGGAGAAGAGUUUUUGAGGAGUGGAGUAGUGAGUAGGGUAACCCUCCCACAGCCCCUGAAAUGUUAUUGUUUCAACCUAGUCGAUAAUCACUAAAUCUUCUAUUUUAACAUUAGCAAUGAUUUGGUCAAGUUUAAUGUGUCAUUCUUUGUGUUAUUAAAGCAAUAUUAAUUUUUACUUGCUCUCUAAAUAGAAUGUUAUAAUAUGGAAUAUAUUUAUUCACACUGCACAUAUUUUCAGAGGUACAAUAAAUAAACUAUUGAUCUGU